rnacentral:tRNA from 1 species
GGGGAAGUGGCGCAGUGGUAGCGCAUUGGUCUUAUAAACCAGUGGUCAUGGGUUCGAUUCCUUUCUUCCUAUUAGGCGA